UUUGUAUUUGUCACAGCCUUUCCCUUUCUCCUGUCCGUGAGCCGUGCUCCAGGAUGGGAGCUGUGGAAUUCCCGUGGAACAGCCUCAUGAUGUCACAGGUUCCCUGCAUCGUGGCUGGCAGAGCCCCGCAUGCACCAGACGCCUGGUGCCUGAGUUUCCUCCUGGCUCUGAAGCAAGAAGCUGCAGCCUCUGCAUUCUUUGGGUGGAGCUUCGAGCUCCUUGUGAAAGCUCUUGGGACCCCUGAGACUGCUCCCCCAGGCGCCGCACUCAGCCCUGGAUGUGGGUUGAGAAGGAGACAGUGGAAAGGCGCGGGGUCCAUCUUCCCAGUUUCCAGCAAGGUCUUGUGAAAACUGCACUUGAUUCUAGCAGGCACGGCCCGGGCGGUUCCACUUUCUCCUGAGAUGGGACCUAGAUGACUGUCUGUCUUUCAGAGGGGCUCUGACUUCUCACUAGGAACUGAGAAAAGCAGAAUCUCCCUCCAGCUCAUCCGCCUGCACGUCCCUGUGCCGCCGGAUUUCUAGGACCUUCAGGGAGCCCCACCACCGGCUCCCGAGGACACCGGCUGCGUGCACUUGGCCGCGUGUUCCUGGGGAGCCGAAGCAGGGACUGUCCUGUGUGCUCCCUUGACUCUCCCAGGUGCUCUCAGCGCAAAGCCAAGAGGAGUCAAGACUCACCUUGGUCCUGAGUCACUCACCUUAACAUACACAGCACUUUUACCAUCACUGAGAAAAAGGCAAACCCACUAGAAAAACAUCGUGCCGCUUAUUUCUCAAAGGAGCAGAGCUGUGACCGUGAACACGAGAAUGUCUCCAGCUUCCCGUGUCAUCGGGGGAGCUUGCGCCUUGUCCUCUAACUGGAGCAUGUGUGGGCGCCGGGCAGACCAGCACCCUCGGCUCCAUCUGGACGCCUGGUCACUUAAGGUCCAAGUGGAAUUUGGAGAGAGACAAAGACGCAUUUUUGCCUUAACUUGACAACUUUCUUGCCAUACUUGCUUUGCUUUUGUCUUUUCCUGAAAAUUCAUGACGAGUGGAUGGCCGUGAAACAAGCACUUUUGGGCACUGCUGGGACAGAUUUUUCUGGAAUGCACUUUGGCAUCCAGAAAUUUGCACCAGGAUCCAGCCAUUCCAGUGGCAGGACCUGGAAGCUGCGUGAGUCACCUUUCCUCUCCCUGACCUCUGGUUGCUCACAUCGGCACACCCAGCCCUGUUUUCAGGGGCUCUUGCCCCUCUUGCCAAACACAGUCCCUGCCCUGGCCGUGGCCCCAAAUGGCCCUGAGGAUGGAGCAUCUUUCCUGUGUCCAUGGAUCUGGGCGGGGGCUGAGAGGGAGCCCCCCCGACCCCCGCCUCAGGUGUCCACUCUGCUUGGGCCAAAUCAGACCACAUGUCUCAGCCCUCUGGAGCUGUGAGUCUUGGUGGCCCCACCGCUGGGAUGAACACAGCACAGCUGUGCUCCUGGAGGGAGCCUCUGCAGCUAGAUCCCCACCACCUGUCCCAGCCCCGGCCUUCCCACUCCUGCGAGUAUCCAUGUGAAGGCUCCCAAACCACAAGAUCAGAAACCCAGAUCUGUCGGAAUCCCUGUUCCCGGUUCUUGGCUUCCAUUUUCUCUGUUGUCCUCCCUGAGAUCACCCCCAUGCCGGUCCCAUGAGAUCUGGACUUUGUCCUGUUCAUCGCAGCUGAAUCCCCGGCACCCAGGAGAGGCCUGCGCACGACAUUAAUCAUGGUAACAAUAAUCACGAUCAUGUCUCCUGUACAGCAGACACUGUUACAAGCAGUCUGCGUGAACACAAUCAAUGGGUCCUCAUGCCAGCCCUUGGGGGAGACGUCAGCUUCCUGUCCCGGUUUGUGGAUGAAGCAGCAAGGCUCUGGAAAGCUUGCUCCCAAGCCUGUGCACCUCACCACGGGCCGAACUUCUUUCUUCCUUGGAAACUUGUCAAGUCUCCCAAACAGAAAGACCUCCUUGGAGAGCUGCACAAAGAUCCAUGGAUGAGGAUGUCCCUAACAUAUUUUUAAUAGGGAAUUUGGCAACACCCAAGUGUCUACGACAGAAGUGGGACUUGGGUGAGGGCGGCUUACCAGCACAUCAGGGCUGUCUGCGGAGAGCGGCUUACCAGCAUGACAGGGCUCUCUGUGGCCUUGGGAGUCCUGGCUGAGGGAUUCUCAUGUUCACGGGAUGUAUUUUAGUCUAUUUUGUGCUGCUAUCUUAGAAUACCACAGACGGGGUAAUUGAUAAUGAACGAAAUUUACGGGCCCACAGUUCUGGAGGCUGGAAAGUCCAAGGCUGAGGGGAAGCAUGGGGUGGGACCCUCUUGCUGUGUCAUCCCAUGGCCCAGGGUGGAGGGCAGCAGGCAGGGGGAGGAAAGGGAGUACCCAAGAGAGGGUUGAGCUGGUCCUUUAGUGAGGAACCCACUCCUGCCAUAAUGGCAUUGACCCAUUCCUGAGGGCGGAGGCCUCAUCACCUCCUAGAGCCCCCACCUCCCCACGCUGUUGCUUUGGGGAUUCCGUCUCCAGCACACGCUUUUGGAGAAACACAUUCAGACUGUAGCGUGUGGAAGAUGAGGACGCACCAGCAGUGAAGAAGCAGAACGCCAGGCGUUUUUACAGUAUGAUUCGCAUUUAACUUAAAAGCACGUAAAGAAAAGAGAUUGGAAGGAAACACACCAAAAUAUUUACAUUGGUGACAGCAGGCUUGGAGAACACAGAUGAAUUCCACGUUCUCCUGUAUACUUUCCUCAGUGCAGUACAUUUUCUACAAAUAUUAUCUGCUACUUCCUUAAAAAGGAAAAUGCAAUUUAGAAACUUUGAAUUCCAGAUUGUGUCUCCCUGAGAAGCAGUGUUCCCUCCAAAGAUUCUCCACCCUUCACGUCUUUACACAUGCGGGUGCCCGGUAGUGAGACUCUGCACGUGGGGUCAGGAUUUAGGGGCUUCCAACCUGGCUGGCGGCUGCUGGGGUGGAGGGCAGGGCUCUGUGUUUCAAGUGGGGAAUCCCCGUGCUCCCCAAGACACAGCAGGGUGCUGGGAAUCUGCCCACCAUGGGACCCAACUCUCCAGACCUUGCCUUGUCUCUAUUUUCUUGGGGGGCUUCUCCGAAAGCCAGUUGUAAGGGCAGCGGGAGGUUGGAGGCUUAGUUCCCCAGGCCUGAGAUUUUGGGACAUAGAAGGCCUGCAAACAGAAGGCAGUAUUGCAGCAUCCAAACAGUGUCUGGUGGCACCUUAGCCAGAACUCAUCUCAGACUAGGCAUGGACAGGCACCUUGCUAACCCGCACCAUGGAACUAACAGUGCCAUGGCAGACACAAAACCAACUGUGUUCACUGAUGUAGUGCCUGGACGCCACAAAUGAUGUGCUCACUUUUUUUGUUGUUGUUUAAUUUUUUUUUUUUUUAGAUGGAAUCUUGCUCUGUUGCCCAGGCUGGAGUGCAGUGGUGCAAUCUUGGCUCACCGCAACCUCUGCCUCCCGGGUUCAAGCGAUUUUCCUGCCUCAGCCUCCCCAGUAGCUGGGACUACAGGCGCGUGCCACCACGCGUGGCUAAUUUUUUGUAUUUUUAGUAGAGAUGGGGUUUCACUGUGUUAGCCAGGAUGGUCUUGAUCUUCUGACCUCAUAAUCUGCCCUCCUCAGCCUCCCAAAGUGCUGAGAUUACAGGUGUGAGCCACUGCGUCCAGCCACUUACUUAUUUUUACUGAUUAUAGAGAUUAUAAAGCUAUUGCUUGUCUAUAAAAGAAAAUUUAAAAAAUUAUGUACGUAUGUAUGAAUACAUGAACAUGCGUAGGUGAGUGCAUGCACGUAACAGAAUUUGCUUAUAAUCCACUGGUAUAGCUAAUGGCUAAACUCUUGGUACCUUGAGUCAUUUUCUCAUUAUGUCCAUAGAUAAGUACUUUAUUUUUACAAAAUGAGAAUUAUGAGAAAUGUACUAUUUCAUACAGUUUUUUCCUUUAAUAAUAUACGUGGUCAUUUUAUGUUUAUUAAAUGUUUUCCUCUUAUAUACAUAAAAAUAAUUGCAUCUUAUUCUAUCAUGUGGAUGUAUAAAGAAUUUAUUUAACAAGUUUCUGUUGCUGUGCAUUUGACUUGGAAGUCCAAGGGGCCAGCAUCUGGCCAGGGCC
rnacentral:lncRNA from 1 species